GUGGGGAAUAUUGGGCAAUGGGCGCAAGCCUGACCCAGCAACGCCGCGUGAAGGAAGAAGGCUUUCGGGUUGUAAACUUCUUUUACCAGGGACGAAACAAAUGACGGUACCUGGUGAAUAAGCCACGGCUAACUACGUGCCAGCAGCCGCGGUAAUACGUAGGUGGCGAGCGUUAUCCGGAUUUAUUGGGUGUAAAGGGCGUGUAGGCGGGACAGCAAGUCAGAUGUGAAAACCAGAGGCUCAACCUCUGGCCUGCAUUUGAAACUGUUGUUCUGGAGUGUCGGAGAGGUAAUCGGAAUUCCGUGUGUAGCGGUGAAAUGCGUAGAUAUACGGAGGAACACCAGUGGCGAAGGCGGGUUACUGGACGAUAACUGACGCUGAGGCGCGAAAGCGUGGGGAGCAAACAGGAUUAGAAACCCGGGUAGUCC
rnacentral:rRNA from 1 species